rnacentral:lncRNA from 1 species
AUGAAUACAGCUUCCUUUCCAGAGACAAUACUUUCUAUGGUUUGCCCUUUCAAGGCUCUAUUUCACAGUAAGAUCAAGGACAGCGGCCACCACCUCUUGCUGUGGUUUAGACCCCAAAGGCCCGUCCCUCCCGACCUGCAGCUUCCCCACCACCGAGCCCGCCCGAGGUCAAAGGCGACGCUCGCCGGAGAACCUGCAGAGGCGGCCGGACGCACCGUGAGACGCCAAGGUCGGGGUCGUGGCCCGGGAAGGAGCCGGGGGCAGAAUCCAACCGGCCACCAACUCAGGCAACUUCCCAGGAUUUGUGGUGCCGGGCGGGCGGCCUCGGGAUUCCUCCCUCCGCUGCACAUGCAAACCCGCGGCCGCGGACGCCGCCUCCCCGAGCCGCGCUCAGACGCUAGUCGGGAGGGGCCGCGGGGUGCGGGGCCGGGGCCGGGCCGGGCCGGGGCCGGCGGGUCGGAGGCGGCGGCGGGGCUGAGCGGCUGUGCCCGGCCCGCGGCUCCGCGGGCAGCUCCUCCCCGGCGGCACGCCCACGUCCCGGCGGCGGCCCCCGCGGCCCAGCCCGGCGGGGAGGGGCCCGCAGGACCGCUCGGCCCGCCCGGAUCCCGGAUCCCGGAUCCCGCGCCGCCGGCCCCGGAGCCGCGGAGGGAGGCGAGCCGGCCGGGCCGAGGCGCAGGCCCAGCACAAAGGCCGGCGGGCGGGCGGGCGGGCGGGGGCGCAGGGACCGGGACCGCCGCGGCAGGUGCGCGCCGAGCCCGAGGAGCCCGCGGAGCCCGAGGAGCCCGAGGAGCCCGAGGAGCCCGCGGAGCCCGAGGAGCCCGAGGCCGGCGGCGCAGGGGGCGCAGGGGUGCGCUCGGCCCCGCUCGGCCCCGCGCCGCCCUCCCCGCCCUCCCCGCCCGCCCGCGCCUCACCUGCCGCCCGACCCGCCGCGGGCGCUUCCUGCUCGCGACUUCCUGGGGCGGCGCGCGGAGGCCCCGCCGGCCCGGCCGCCCCUUUCACUGUGCGGCCCGCGGGGCGCCGGCCCGGCCCUCCCCUCCCCCUCCUCCCAGCCGCCCCGCCCCCCCCCUCCCCCGGGCGCGCCCGGGUCCCCAAGGCGCCUCCCGCCACCGCGCCCCGGGGCGACCCCGCUCCGCCCGCGUCCUUGCACCUGCCGGCGCCCUUGGCCCCAGGGUGGUCUCCCCAAGGCCCCCCCCCCCCCGGAGGCCGCGCUGCAGAGGGCUCCUGGGACUACGGGCCUUCAUGCCGCUGCCCCUCCUCAGGCUCCGAAGCAUGGAACUGGAGGAAGUGAAAGGGGCCCGCGGUCGCUGUGCUGAGCCUCUCAGUCACGCCUGUGCGCGCAGGACGCGCAGCUCAGACGCUUGGGCUGGAGGAGCCUGA